AUUCGAGGUAGGUUUUCCCACCCCCAUAUGCAGUAGUCAAUAAAAGGCCGAGAAAGUGCCAUCCAAGCAGAACCUGUAAAGAGUUUAAAGGCUGUGGGAAGAGCUCUCUUCGGCGAGACCCAAAAUAUGUCAGACUUGGUUGUCUUAUAGAGACCAGGGUCUAUAAUAAGCGGCAUUGCCCUUUGACCCUCUUUCCAACCCAGCCGGCUACUG
rnacentral:misc_RNA from 1 species